GCCCCGAAACCCCACCCUAGCAGCUGGCGACUCGAAGACCACGUCCUCCUUCCAGCUCGGCCCUAGCUGAGAUUUUCCGCGGCAAAGCAGGAAGUGCACUGCUCCCGCUCCAUUUCCCAGCUCAGUAACCGGUCGGGAAUGUUUCUUAGAACCCAUACCCCAUCUGUGUUCCCCAGAUGAACUGCACGUUCUCAGUCUAUGAUCCUGUAAUACUUUGUUCCUGGACUGUGGUGAAAGUGAUGAUGACUACACAGUGGGUCAAGCACAGUGAGUUGUUUCGUUGAAUUUGUGUUGGUUUUUGAUUUGCUUUGGUUUUGUAGCAGAGGCAAUAGGUGCCUUUCCACCCAGAAAACUCUGCUCCCAAGAUCCCCUAUCAGGAUUAACUGCAUGGCGCCAGAUUGUUGGUUAGGGCAAGGCAAAUUUUAAUUCAUCUGAGCUACAUGAGAAGAGUUCAAAGAUGGAGCUAACAUUCUAAUAUAAAUAAAAUGCAGUUUUCUCAUUGUG
rnacentral:lncRNA from 1 species